rnacentral:rRNA from 1 species
GAUGAACGCUAGCUACAGGCUUAACACAUGCAAGUCGCGGGACCGGCGCACGGGUGAGUAUCGCGGAUCCAACCUGCCCUUCACCCCGGGCUAACCCGGCGAAAGUCGGACUAAUACCGUAUGGUGGGGGAUGGGGAUGCGUACGAUUAGCUUGACGGCGGGGUAACGGCCCACCGUGGCUAUGAUCGGUAGGGGUUCUGGGAGGAAGGUCCCCCACACUGGAACUGAGACACGGUCCAGACUCCUACGGGAGGCAGCAGUGAGGAAUAUUGGUCAAUGGGCGUAAGCCUGAACCAGCCAAGUAGCGUGCAGGACGACGGCCUAUGGGUUGUAAACUGCUUUUAUGCGGGGAUAGGUACCGCAUGAAUAAGGACCGGCUAAUUCCGUGCCAGCAGCCGCGGUAAUAC